UACGUAGGGUGCGAGCGUUAAUCGGAAUUACUGGGCGUAAAGCGUGCGCAGGCGGUUAUACAAGACAGGCGUGAAAUCCCCGGGCUUAACCUGGGAAUGGCGCCUGUGACUGUAUAGCUAGAGUGUGUCAGAGGGGGGUAGAAUUCCACGUGUAGCAGUGAAAUGCGUAGAUAUGUGGAGGAAUACCAAUGGCGAAGGCAGCCCCCUGGGAUAACACUGACGCUCAUGCACGAAAGCGUGGGGAGCAAACAGGAUUAGAUACCCUGGUAGUCCACGCCCUAAACGAUGCUGACUAGUUGUUGGGAAUUUACAUUCUCAGUAACGUAGCUAACGCGUGAAGUCAGCCGCCUGGGGAGUACGGUCGCAAGAUUA
rnacentral:rRNA from 1 species